GAUGAACGCUGGCGGCGUGCCUAAUACAUGCAAGUCGAGCGAACAGAUAGGGAGCUUGCUCCUUUGACGUUAGCGGCGGACGGGUGAGUAACACGUGGGUAACCUACCUAUAAGACUGGAAUAACUCCGGGAAACCGGGGCUAAUGCCGGAUAACAUGUUGAACCGCAUGGUUCUACAGUGAAAGGCGGCUUUGCUGUCACUUAUAGAUGGACCCGCGCCGUAUUAGCUAGUUGGUGAGGUAACGGCUCACCAAGGCAACGAUACGUAGCCGACCUGAGAGGGUGAUCGGCCACACUGGAACUGAGACACGGUCCAGACUCCUACGGGAGGCAGCAGUAGGGAAUCUUCCGCAAUGGGCGAAAGCCUGACGGAGCAACGCCGCGUGAGUGAUGAAGGUCUUCGGAUCGUAAAACUCUGUUAUUAGGGAAGAACAAAUGCGUAAGUAACUGUGCGCGUCUUGACGGUACCUAAUCAGAAAGCCACGGCUAACUACGUG
rnacentral:rRNA from 1 species